UACAGAGGUCUCGAGCGUUAGGCGGAAUCACUGGGCUUAAAGCGUGUGUAGGCGGAUCGUUAAGUGCCUUGUGAAAUCCCACGGCUCAACCGUGGAACUGCUUGGUAGACUGCGGCGCUUGAGGUUGGUAGGGGCUGCCGGAACUCUAGGUGGAGCGGUGAAAUGCGUUGAUAUCUACAGGAACUCCGGUGGCGAAAGCGGCGUGCUGGACCUUUUCUGACGCUGAGGCGCGAAAGCUAGGGGAGCAAACGGG
rnacentral:rRNA from 1 species